rnacentral:misc_RNA from 1 species
UUGCCUCUAUGAUUGUAUGUUAUUAGUUAUAAGUGAAAUUGUUGAAAACUUGAUCAAACGAUUAUCAUCAAUAAUUAAGAACUUAUCUUUUGAUAAAAACUUGUUUGGUAUAUCAAGAAAUAAUACUUGGUGGUAAGAAAAAGAAGGAGAAAAGUAACUUUGGUGUUAUAUGCCACGUCAAAUCUUUUAUAUAUUUUUUCAGUGAUAUUAUGGCGUCGCAGGUCUACGAAUUUCGAGUUGAAAUGACGUGUGAAGGAUGUGUCAAUUCCGUUCAAAAUGUUCUUAAUAAAAAGGCAGGUGUAAGUGAUAUUAACGUUAACUUAGCUAAUAAAAUGGUAUCUGUGAAAACAACAUUAUCCUCCGAUGAGGUAUUACAAACUAUCAAAAAAACUGGCAAGGAGUGUACAUUUGUAGGUGUUAAACAAUAAAUUUGACACAAACGUUAACACACAAAUAUAUCUAAUACUAUGUAAUUCAAAUAUUAUUUUCCUUCUGUUGAACUAUUAAACCGUUAAAUGCAAUAUUUAAAUGGAUUUAUUAUGGUUUUCAAAAUGAUAACAUCUAAACAAACUUAUCGAAUUCAUAAAAGUACUUUGGAAUUAGUCCCCGCAAGAAUAAAAAAUCAAUUGCAUUAAUUAGGAAAAAAAGAAAGUGAGAGGGAUAAUGUAAAUCGUAAUAUAUGGCAGUACAUCAUGU